AUAGGGGUCCAAGAGAUUUGUAGU
rnacentral:miRNA from 1 species